GGAGAGUGGGAGAGACCUCUACCCUCCACUCCUUCCCGGCCCCAGCUUGGGGGCUGCUGUGGUGGGGGAGAGAGGGCACAUCCAUCACAUUAGAAAGGUUAAGACUACUGAUAUUAAAAUAUGAGUUGUGUGCUUUUAUGUGUAGAA